AUUGAACGCUGGCGGCAGGCUUAACACAUGCAAGUCGAGCGGGGUGAUGGUGCUUGCACUAUCACUUAGCGGCGGACGGGUGAGUAAUGCUUAGGAAUCUGCCUAUUAGUGGGGGACAACAUCUCGAAAGGGAUGCUAAUACCGCAUACGUCCUACGGGAGAAAGCAGGGGAUCACUUGUGACCUUGCGCUAAUAGAUGAGCCUAAGUCGGAUUAGCUAGUUGGUGGGGUAAAGGCCUACCAAGGCGACGAUCUGUAGCGGGUCUGAGAGGAUGAUCCGCCACACUGGGACUGAGACACGGCCCAGACUCCUACGGGAGGCAGCAGUGGGGAAUAUUGGACAAUGGGGGGAACCCUGAUCCAGCCAUGCCGCGUGUGUGAAGAAGGCCUUAUGGUUGUAAAGCACUUUAAGCGAGGAGGAGGCUCUUUUGGUUAAUACCCAGAAUGAGUGGACGUUACUCGCAGAAUAAGCACCGGCUAACUCUGUGCCAGCCGCCGCCGUAAGAC
rnacentral:rRNA from 1 species